AUUUGGUUGAGGCUUUAUAUAUGCUUUUACAUUCUGGCUUUUGUUAUGAAUUGUACAUAUUUUUUUAUACAUAUAUAUUUUGUAUAUUAUAUUGUUUUAUUACAAAACAUGUAUAUAUUUUUUGUAUUAUAUUGUAUAUGUUUUUUGGUGUAUUAAUUAUAGUGUUUAUUUAUUAAACUUUUUUAUAAAUAUUUUUUGUUUUAUAUUUACCCGAAUAAUUCAGUCCCUCCCCGUAAUUGAUCUCUCCUACUUGUGAGGGCCUGAAUUCCUAACCCAUUAAUAAAAACUCUUCAUGAAUCCAGGAUUUUGAUUGGUAUCCCUAUAGAAGAGGUGACCAAUCAUCAAUCAGCUCAAUUUUAUCAAGAUAGGUUAAUCCCAAGCUAAUUACGAUCGAAUGGUUGAUUGAAGAUUUUUCAUUGUCUAUGCAUUCAGGCAUUAAUGUAGUGAUCGUAGAUCAGCGGAAUAUAACAACUGAAUUAUUCGGGUUAGUAUUAUAUUGUUUAUUUUUUAAUCUAUUUAUAUUUUUUUCUUUUUACCUGCAACUGUUGUACAGAUAGCUGGUAUUCAAAUAAAUAUUUACUUAAAUUGUACCGUACCAAUAAUGUCUUAUUUUAUACUUCUAUGUUUUACAAAUAUUGCAAGUUCACUAGUCGCCUUGGUAGU
rnacentral:lncRNA from 1 species